rnacentral:tRNA from 1 species
CGCGGGGUGGAGCAGUCUGGUAGCUCGUCGGGCUCAUAACCCGAAGGUCGCAGGUUCGAAUCCUGCCCCCGCAACCA